rnacentral:rRNA from 1 species
GAUGAACGCUGGCGGCGUGCCUAAUACAUGCAAGUCGAGCGAACGGACGAGAAGCUUGCUUCUCUGAUGUUAGCGGCGGACGGGUGAGUAACACGUGGAUAACCUACCUAUAAGACUGGGAUAACUUCGGGAAACCGUAGCUAAUACCGGAUAAUAUUUUGAACCGCAUGGUUCAAAAGUGAAAGACGGUCUUGCUGUCACUUAUAGAUGGAUCCGCGCUGCAUUAGCUAGUUGGUAAGGUAACGGCUUACCAAGGCAACGAUACAUAGCCGACCUGAGAGGGCGAUCGGCCACACUGGAACUGAGACACGGUCCAGACUCCUACGGGAGGCAGCAGUAGGGAAUCUUCCGCAAUGGGCGAAAGCCUGACGGAGCAACGCCGCGUGAGUGAUGAAGGUCUUCGGAUCGUAAAACUCUGUUAUUAGGGAAGAACAUAUGUGUAAGUAACUGUGCACAUCUUGACGGUACCUAAUCAGAAAGCCACGGCUAACUACGUG